GACGAACGCUGGCGGCGUGCUUAACACAUGCAAGUCGAACGGAAAGGCCCUGCUUUUGUGGGGUUCUCGAGUGGCGAACGGGUGAGUAACACGUGAGUAACCUGCCCUUGACUUUGUGAUAACUUCAGGAAACUGGGGCUAAUACCGGAUAGGAGCUCCUGCUGCAUGGUGGUGGUUGGAAAGUUUAGGCGGUUGGGGAUGGACUCGCGGCUUAUCAGCUUGUUGGUGGGGUAGUGGCUUACCAAGGCUUUGACGGGUAGCCGGCAUGAGAGGGUGACCGGGCACCUUGGGACUGAGAUACGGAGCAGACUGCUACGGGAGGCAGCAGUGGGGAAUAUUGCACAAUGGGCGGACGCCUGAUGAAGAAACGUCGCGUGCGGGAUGACGGCUUUCGGGUUGUAAACCGCUUUCGCCUGUGACGAAGCGUGAGUGACGGUAAUGGGUAAAGAAGCACCGGCUAACUACGUG
rnacentral:rRNA from 1 species